GAUGAAGAACGUAGCGAAAUGCGAUACUUGGUGUGAAUUGCAGAAUCCCGUGAACCAUCGAGUCUUUGAACGCAAGUUGCGCCCGAAGCCAUCAGGUUGAGGGCACGUCUGCCUGGGCGUCACAUAUCGUUGCCCAAUGCCUAUUGCAGUGCGAUAGGAAUUUCUAGGGCGAAUGAUGGCUUCCCGUGAGCGUUGUUGCCUCGCGGUUGGUUGAAAAUCGAGUCCUUGGUAGGGUGUGCCAUGGUAGAUGGUGGUCGAGUUAGAACGAUACCGAUCAUGUGCAUGCUCCCCAAAAUAUGGCCUCUAUGACCCACACGCGUCUUUUGACGCUCAUGACGAGACCUCAGGUCAGGCGAGGCUACCCGCUGAAUUUAAGCAUAUCAAUAAGCGGAGGA
rnacentral:misc_RNA from 1 species